rnacentral:rRNA from 1 species
GGGAACNNGNCNGNAGUCGAGAUUCCUACGGGAGGCAGCAGUGGGGAAUUUUCCGCAAUGGGCGAAAGCCUGACGGAGCAACGCCGCGUGAGGGAUGAAGGCCUCUGGGCUGUAAACCUCUUUUAUCAAGGAAGAAGAUCUGACGGUACUUGAUGAAUAAGCCACGGCUAAUUCCGUGCCAGCAGCCGCGGUAAUACGGGAGUGGCAAGCGUUAUCCGGAAUUAUUGGGCGUAAAGCGUCCGCAGGCGGCCCUUCAAGUCUGCUGUUAAAAAGUGGAGCUUAACUCCAUCAUGGCAGUGGAAACUGUUGGGCUUGAGUGUGGUAGGGGCAGAGGGAAUUCCCGGUGUAGCGGUGAAAUGCGUAGAUAUCGGGAAGAACACCAGUGGCGAAGGCGCUCUGCUGGGCCAUCACUGACGCUCAUGGACGAAAGCCAGGGGAGCGAAAGGGAUUAGAUACCCCUGUAGUCCUGGCCGUAAACGAUGAACACUAGGUGUCGGGGGAAUCGACCCCUCCGGUGUCGUAGCCAACGCGUUAAGUGUUCCGCCUGGGGAGUACGCACGCAAGUGUGAAACUCAAAUGAAUUGACGG